rnacentral:rRNA from 1 species
UACGGGGGGAGCAAGCGUUGCUCGGAAUCACUGGGCGUAAAGCGCACGUAGGCGGAUUGCUAAGUCAGGGGUGAAAUCCUGGAGCUCAACUCCAGAACUGCCUUUGAUACUGGCGAUCUUGAGUCCGGGAGAGGUGAGUGGAACUGCGAGUGUAGAGGUGAAAUUCGUAGAUAUUCGCAAGAACACCAGUGGCGAAGGCGGCUCACUGGCCCGGUACUGACGCUGAGGUGCGAAAGCGUGGGGAGCAAACAGG